rnacentral:rRNA from 1 species
AGAGUUUGAUCCUGGCUCAGGACGAACGCUGGCGGCGUGCCUAAUACAUGCAAGUCGAGCGAAUGACGAGGAGCUUGCUCCUUUGAUUUAGCGGCGGACGGGUGAGUAACACGUGGGUAACCUGCCUUGUAGACUGGGAUAACUUCGGGAAACCGGAGCUAAUACCGGAUAAUACUUUUGAACACAUGUUCGAAAGUUGAAAGAUGGUUUCGGCUAUCACUACAAGAUGGACCCGCGGCGCAUUAGCUAGUUGGUGAGGUAACGGCUCACCAAGGCGACGAUGCGUAGCCGACCUGAGAGGGUGAUCGGCCACACUGGGACUGAGACACGGCCCAGACUCCUACGGGAGGCAGCAGUAGGGAAUCUUCCACAAUGGACGAAAGUCUGAUGGAGCAACGCCGCGUGAGUGAAGAAGGAUUUCGGUUCGUAAAACUCUGUUGCAAGGGAAGAACAAGUAGCGUAGUAACUGGCGCUACCUUGACGGUACCUUGUUAGAAAGCCACGGCUAACUACGUGCCAGCAGCCGCGGUAAUACGUAGGUGGCAAGCGUUGUCCAGAAUUAUUGGGCGUAAAGCGCGCGCAGGUGGUUCCUUAAGUCUGAUGUGAAAGCCCCCGGCUCAACCGGGGAGGGUCAUUGGAAACUGGGGAACUUGAGUGCAGAAGAGGAUAGUGGAAUUCCAAGUGUAGCGGUGAAAUGCGUAGAGAUUUGGAGGAACACCAGUGGCGAAGGCGACUAUCUGGUCUGUAACUGACACUGAGGCGCGAAAGCGUGGGGAGCAAACAGGAUUAGAUACCCUGGUAGUCCACGCCGUAAACGAUG